rnacentral:pre_miRNA from 1 species
AGGGGAAUAGCUGGGUCAAAAGGUGGUUCCAUUCCCAGCUUUCCAAGGAAUCUCCAUACUUCUUUCCAAAUUGGCAGUACCGAUUUGCAGUCCCACCAGCAAU